CAAUAACAACAAAUACUAAAAACUACGGUACCCUAGAUGGGCGAGUCCGGCUCGCAUUUGUCUGGUAUUAUUUAAAUAUAGGAGGCAAAUGAGGAAAGCCCAUGAACAGAGGUCGUACCUAUCAUAGGAUAAGUAGAUAUAUAUGUACAAAGAAACAGCGGUAUGUUAAGUAGAUUUUUUUAUAUAGUAGGCAAACGAGCAGAGCCCAUGAACAGAGGUCAUACUCUUAUCAUAGAAUUGGUAGAUAUGUACAAAGAAACAGCGCUAUGUUAAGUAGAAUCGAUUUUUUUUAAGUAGGAGCUAAACGAGCAGAACUCAUGAACAGAGUUCGUAUCAUAAGAUUUGUAGAUAUGUACAUAGAAAUGGCGCUAUGUUAAAUAGAAGUAUUUUUUUAAAUAUAGGAGGCAAAUGAGCAGAGUCCAUGAACAGAGGUUGUAUCAUAGGAUAAGUAGAUAUGUACAAAGAAAUGGCACUAUGUUAAGUAGAUUUUUUUUUUUUUAAUAUAUGAGGCAAACGAGCAGUGCCCACGAACAGAGCUCGUAUCAGAAGAUUUAUAGAGAUGUACAAAGGAAUGGCGUUAUGUUAAGUAGAAGUAUUUUUUUAAAUACAGGAGGCAAACGAGCAGAGCCCAUGAACAGAGGUCGUAUCUUAAGAUUUGUAGAUAUGUACAUAGAAAUGGCGCUAUGUUAAGUAGAAGUAUUUUUUUAAAUAUAGGAGGCAAAUGAGCAGAGCCCAUGAACAGAGGUUGUAUCAUAGGAUAAGUAGAUAUGUACAAAGAAAUGGCACUAUGUUAAGUAAUUUUUUUUUUUAAUAUAGGAGGCAAACGAGCAGAGCCCACGAACAGAGCUCGUAUCAGAAGAUUUAUAGAGAUGUACAAAAGAAUGGCGUUAUGUUAAGUAGAAGUAUUUUUUUUAUAUAGGAGGCAAACGAGCAGAACCCAUGAACAGAGCUCAUAUCAUAAGAUUUGUAGAGAUGUACAAAGGAAUGGCGUUAUGUUAAGUAGAAGUAUUUUUUUAAAUACAGGAGGCAAACGAGCAGAGCCCAUGAACAGAGGUCGUAUCUUAAGAUUUGUAGAUAUGUACAUAGAAAUGGCGCUAUGUUAAGUAGAACUAUUUUUUUAAAUAUAGGAGGCAAAUGAGCAGAGCCCAUGAACAGAGGUUGUAUCAUAGGAUAAGUAGAUAUGUACAAAGAAAUGGCACUAUGUUAAGUAGAAUUUGUUUUUUUUAAUCUAGGAGGCAAACGAGCAGAGCCCACGAACAGAGCUCGUAUCAGAAGAUUUAUAGAGAUGUACAAAGGAAUGGCGUUAUGUUAAGUAGAAGUAUUUUUUUAAAUACAGGAGGCAAACGAGCAGAGCCCAUGAACAGAGGUCGUAUCAUAAGAUUUGUAGAUAUGUACAUAGAAAUGGCGCUAUGUUAAGUAGAAGUAUUUUUUUAAAUAUAGGAGGCAAAUGAGCAGAGCCCAUGAACAGAGGUUGUAUCAUAGGAUAAGUAGAUAUGUACAAAGAAAUGGCACUAUGUUAAGUAGAUUUUUUUUUUUAAUAUAGGAGGCAAACGAGCAGAGCCCACGAACAGAGCUCGUAUCAUAAGAUUUGUAGAUAUGUACAUAGAAAUGGCGCUAUGUUAAGUAGAAGUAUUUUUUUAAAUAUAGGAGGCAAAUGAGCAGAGCCCAUGAACAGAGGUUGUAUCAUAGGAUAAGUAGAUAUGUACAAAGAAAUGGCACUAUGUUAAGUAGAAUUUUUUUUUUAAUAUAGGUGGCAAACGAGCAGAGCCCACGAACAGAGCUCGUAUCAGAAGAUUUAUAGAGAUGUACAAAGGAAUGGCGUUAUGUUAAGUAGAAGUAUUUUUUUUAAUAUA